AGAGUUUGAUCCUGGCUCAGGAUGAACGCUAGCUACAGGCUUAACACAUGCAAGUCGAGGGGCAGCGGGAUUGAAGCUUGCUUCAAUUGCCGGCGACCGGCGCACGGGUGAGUAACGCGUAUCCAACCUUCCGUACACUCAGGGAUAGCCUUUCGAAAGAAAGAUUAAUACCUGAUGGUAUGAUGAAAUUGCAUGAUAGCAUCAUUAAAGAUUUAUCGGUGUACGAUGGGGAUGCGUUCCAUUAGGUAGUAGGCGGGGUAACGGCCACCUAGCCUACGAUGGGUAGGGGUUCUGAGAGGAAGGUCCCCCANAUUGGAACUGAGACACGGUCCAAAAUCCUACGGGAGGCA
rnacentral:rRNA from 1 species